UGGGUAUGUUUCUUAAAUUGGGCUUUUGUGAAUAAAUAAAUGGGCUUCAUUGCCCAAGUUUAUUUUGACGUUUUGAGAAAUUGUAUUUUGACGAAACUCUUCUUCUUAAAAGAAUAAGUCAAAGAACGUGACCACGCCGCAGUUCUCUCUGUUUGGUUUGCAACGGUGAGGAGAGAUAGGUCAUUGGAUCUCGGAUGUUAUGGCUAAAAUCUUUGAUGAGAAGCUCGAUCUUGUGCCUAUUUAAAGGAGAGUCUAGUCUUCAAUUUCAUCAUGGAGAUUACAUCUCUCUCUUCUAUUUUCUUCUUCUUCUUCUUCUAUAUUUCUGAGUUUGAGUUUGAGAGCUUCAUCUCUUUUGGGUUGAGUGCACAACACAAUUGAGAGCAGAGUGAACCCUGGAGUGAGCCGUCUUGGUUAUCUUGCACACCGGGAUUAGGCGGUUUUUCGCUCAAGUGCAGUAGAUUCUCUACGGCUCUGCGACUUUCGUUCUUUGUCAAUUCUGGAAGACGCAUUGGCGUUAAUUUCCACGAUUCAAUGCAACAGUGGCCACAACGCAAUGGGACAGUGAGAGAUUUCUCUUUUGUUCUGCAUUUUGAUUCGGACAUGAAAUCUAAACAUCGAUAAAGAUGGGACACGACGAAACGUAGAAAGUGGCAAACAAAGCUGAUAAUAUCUAAAAGGAGAUAUAUCAGAUAAACAAUCCCUGGCGAUAAAUUCUCAAGUCCUUUUGGUACCUUUUCAUCAUAUGAAUUCAACUUUUUUGUUUACUUUAAUAUUUUGGGGGAUGAGUGUGAGAAACUGAAAAUGGUUUUAGGAUUUA